UAGGGAAUCUUCCGCAAUGGGCGAAAGCCUGACGGAGCAACGCCGCGUGAGUGAUGAAGGUCUUCGGAUCGUAAAACUCUGUUAUUAGGGAAGAACAAAUGUGUAAGUAACUAUGCACGUCUUGACGGUACCUAAUCAGAAAGCCACGGCUAACUACGUGCCAGCAGCCGCGGUAAUACGUAGGUGGCAAGCGUUAUCCGGAAUUAUUGGGCGUAAAGCGCGCGUAGGCGGUUUUUUAAGUCUGAUGUGAAAGCCCACGGCUCAACCGUGGAGGGUCAUUUGAAACUGGAAAACUUGAGUGCAGAAGAGGAAAGUGGAAUUCCAUGUGUAGCGGUGAAAUGCGCAGAGAUAUGGAGGAACACCAGUGGCGAAGGCGACUUUCUGGUCUGUAACUGACGCUGAUGUGCGAAAGCGUGGGGAUCAAACAGG
rnacentral:rRNA from 1 species